rnacentral:rRNA from 1 species
GAGUGGCGAACUGGUGAGUAACACGUGGGAAACCUGCCCAGAAGCGGGGGAUAACACCUGGAAACAGAUGCUAAUACCGCAUAACAACUUGGACCGCAUGGUCCGAGUUUGAAAGAUGGCUUCGGCUAUCACUUUUGGAUGGUCCCGCGGCGUAUUAGCUAGAUGGUGAGGUAACGGCUCACCAUGGCAAUGAUACGUAGCCGACCUGAGAGGGUAAUCGGCCACAUUGGGACUGAGACACGGCCCAAACUCCUACGGGAGGCAGCAGUAGGGAAUCUUCCACAAUGGACGAAAGUCUGAUGGAGCAACGCCGCGUGAGUGAAGAAGGGUUUCGGCUCGUAAAACUCUGUUGUUAAAGAAGAACAUAUCUGAGAGUAACUGUUCAGGUAUUGACGGUAUUUAACCAGAAAGCCACGGCUAACUACGUGCCAGCAGCCGCGGUAAUACGUAGGUGGCAAGCGUUGUCCGGAUUUAUUGGGCGUAAAGCGAGCGCAGGCGGUUUUUUAAGUCUGAUGUGAAAGCCUUCGGCUCAACCGAAGAAGUGCAUCGGAAACUGGGAAACUUGAGUGCAGAAGAGGACAGUGGAACUCCAUGUGUAGCGGUGAAAUGCGUAGAUAUAUGGAAGAACACCAGUGGCGAAGGCGGCUGUCUGGUCUGUAACUGACGCUGAGGCUCGAAAGUAUGGGUAGCAAACAGGAUUAGAUACCCUGGUAGUCCAUACCGUAAACGAUGAAUGCUAAGUGUUGGAGGGUUUCCGCCCUUCAGUGCUGCAGCUAACGCAUUAAGCAUUCCGCCUGGGGAGUACGGCCGCAAGGCUGAAACUCAAAGGAAUUGACGGGGGCCCGCACAAGCGGUGGAGCAUGUGGUUUAAUUCGAAGCUACGCGAAGAACCUUACCAGGUCUUGACAUACUAUGCAAAUCUAAGAGAUUAGACGUUCCCUUCGGGGACAUGGAUACAGGUGGUGCAUGGUUGUCGUCAGCUCGUGUCGUGAGAUGUUGGGUUAAGUCCCGCAACGAGCGCAACCCUUAUUAUCAGUUGCCAGCAUUAAGUUGGGCACUCUGGUGAGACUGCCGGUGACAAACCGGAGGAAGGUGGGGAUGACGUCAAAUCAUCAUGCCCCUUAUGACCUGGGCUACACACGUGCUACAAUGGAUGGUACAACGAGUUGCGAACUCGCGAGAGUAAGCUAAUCUCUUAAAGCCAUUCUCAGUUCGGAUUGUAGGCUGCAACUCGCCUACAUGAAGUCGGAAUCGCUAGUAAUCGCGGAUCAGCAUGCCGCGGUGAAUACGUUCCCGGGCCUUGUACACACCGCCCGUCACACCAUGAGAGUUUGUAACACCCAAAGUCGGUGGGGUAA